AAUAUUUAAAAUGUGUGAUGGUAGAUAUUCAAGAUAUGGAAAUCUUAAAAAUAACAAUCUUAAAAUAGUAAAUAAUAAAAAUUUAUAAUAUAGAUUUCAGUAAAUAAUAAAUAACAAAACAUUAUAAUAAUAGACUUAAAUACAGAGGUAAGUAACAAAAAUUUCAAAUAAUUAGGUUAAUCUCGUUUAUUUUACAUUUGAUAACGUAGGUAUAUAAUAAGCAAUAUUAUUUCAGUUAAAAUGCGUGAACUUCCGGUCAGUUUCUUUUGCUAUGACCGUGUCGGAAGCGAGAAACGGUCAAGAGGACGUUGAGACAUCGAUCGCACGCGCGGAUAGCGGUAUCGAACGAGCUUAUCACAGAUCCGUGACAUAGAAACCGGCCUUCUAUUCCAUUGGUUAUGUCCAAAAAAUAAAAAGUAAAAAAUAUUAUUAACAGCUUUAGUUAAUGUUUUCUUAGCGUAACUGGCAACGUCACCGUUAUAAAACCGGCCGUUUCAUGAAAACGGCCACCGAAUUGGAAAUAGGAAGAGAGAGAGAUGUCGUCGCAGGAGAUCAUCGUUUCGCAGUGGGUAACGACGUAAUGACACGAGCAUUAAUUUAAUGAUUGCCGAUGUCAAUCUGACACCUGUAUAAAGAUACAAGGAGGCAAAGAACCGUUAUUAGUCAACUCUUACCCAAGAACAACAUUGCGUUUUCUUCUACGUGCCACGUUUUCUAAUUAUUAACCGCAUUCUUUGCAUCGUCAAAGCAUGAAAAUUCAGUCGUUAAUUUUUCACCAAUGUUGGUCGGUAGUUUCAUAAACGCGUUUUCAUGAACUUUGAUACAAAGACAAAUUGGUCGACUCUAAUCUUUAAAAAUUUCUUAAGUUUGCUACCCAUAUAAGUAUAUGGUCAGUAUACUUUUAUUUUUUUGUUUUUUUUAGUAUUCUUCUUAAUUUCUGUAAUUCGGACUUUCGUUGGUAAAUUAACAAAAUGUCCCGCAAAACUUGUUAUUUUCUGCUCUAUUCUAGAUUCAAAUAUCGAUUAAUGUUGUUUCCUAACGAUGAAGUCUAGGAUUUGAAUAAUAUAAUAAUUUCAUGAUACGAUGAUAAAGUAUUUGAAAUAAGAUAUUUAAUUUUUGAAAAUUUAGGAAGUUUUUAAUGAAUUAAUGAAGUCGAUUAGUAGAUUGCGGAUUUUUAUGUAUUUAUAGGAAAUUUGGAAAUGGUAUGCAUGUAUAAAAAUAUAGAAAAAAUCCAAAGUAGAAUAUUUGCUAUAACAUUUAGUAGAUGACAAAUACAUUUAAUAAAAAGCAGAUUUCUAUUUAGAUUCCAUUUCUUCAACUACGUUCGUAGAAGUAUAUAAAUGCAUAGAAAACUGCAGUCUAUUUAUUAGUGUGGCUUUCAUAUGACUCAUUUAUGUUUCUCCCUGUUUUUACAAAUUUCUUCACACAUUGUAAUAUGUUAUCAUUUAAAAUUUUAAAUAUUAUAAAGUUUGGAAUGUUUUUGCCGGCGGAUAGAAUAUCCGUUCACAAGAGAUGCUUGUCACUUUUGAUGAAAGUUUCUUUGAAUAUCUACACUGAAGAGUUUGAAAUGUUUUCCAACAGCGCGCGAUUAUGCCAGCACUCGAAAGGAGAAGUAGAGAGGGAAGAGACAGCUUUGCGAAGUGGUACUGCUUCGCACGGUACACACCUGCAGCGGUUGUAACGUUAUUGUCGAAUUUUUCUCGUACCACGGAUAUUUUCACGGAUAGAAUUUGCGAGGCAUUUAAGUUUAUAGCUGCCCCAUCUAAAACCAGUUGUUCAGAAAAAGAAAUCACAACGAUGAUUGUAUAGGAAAUAUGCAUGUUCGUAGAGAUAUUUUGACAGAUAUAUCAUAUAGACGUAAACUUAAAAAAUGUGGUGUACCUAACCUUGAAGUUUCUACAAGAAAACAAUUAACAUGUAUUUGGGUGGUACAUAUUAAAUAUCUUUCCAAAUCAAAUUUUAAUAACAGGUAGUAUUAAAGUAAUUAAGAUAAUUGAUAAUUGACGACAAGACAAUAUUUAAUUUCUGAUAUUUGUCCGCCAAAUUCAAUCAUUUCAUAUACAACCUAAUACAUAUAAUGAAGUAAAUCUACCAAUCCACAUACAUAGUAUACGUAUACGUACAUACAGUAUAGUAUAAUAGAGCGAAAAUAUUAAGGUCAGUAUGAAAGGACUUUAUGCAUAAAUAAUUCAUUAUUUUGAACUUGAAAGAAGCCUAACGGGACGGCACAGGGGCAAAGGAGGUACUGCUCCUUAUCGCUCACCGUCAAUUACGUCUUGCCAUAUUGUUUUAUGUGACACUUUCGGUCAAUACACGUGUUUAUCUUUACGUUGCUGUUUUGUGCUGAGUCUACAAAGAAAUAACCAAUCAGACCCACAUUCCUUCGCUUGUCAUCUUUUCAGCUCUCUAUUAUACAUUUCCCAGUCAUAAUGCAGCGUUUGAUUUAUGUAAAAGUCAAUGCGAUGGUCCACGGUUCAACUGCUUUUCCAGCAACGGAUCUGAGAGCUUUGGCUUCGAUCCGAGUCAUUGGCGACAGUCGAGUUACGGUACCCGACAUACCGAUGUGUUCCACCGAGCACAAGCUACUCUCUCGCGUACAUGUUCACAUGCAAAGCGAUUUAUAUCCCUUACCACCUUCUUUCCGACCUAUCUAUCUACGUAAGGUAUACACGAACCACGUCGAACGUAUACGAAGCUUCGCUUGUGAAUUAUUCAACAAGCGUCACCUUGAGCGACGACGUGCAAGCGUAGGCUGCCCUCUGCCUCUGUCUUUUCUUUCCCUUUCGUAUAGACCACGUGCGGACAAAUUCGUGAUGUCUUUUACGAUGACUUAGGUAGUGCGACGCGUCGUGAAGAAUAUGAAUUUCCAACUGCGCCAGUCGGCCAUUGUGCCUGGUUUAUGAACGUGCCUUAAGUUUCGUCUGUUACUAUGACUUCUCUUACUCGGAGUUCAGAAAACUUUGAUUUGUCGUUGAUGGAAGAUUUAUGUCAAUAUACAGUUGGGGACAAAAAUAAGUGGAGAGAUAGCGGAAGUAGGUAUCAAUGCAGUUUAAUAGAACUAUUGGGUUGGCAACUAAGUGAUUGAUUAGGUGGUAAUGUUACCCACCUAAUGACAAAAUCCGCAAUCACUUAGUUGCCAACCUAAUAAUAUCAGUUCUAUAUACUUAAGUUUUAUUUACGUAUUUCUUUUAGUAUAUAGAUUAUUUAACAAAUAAUUCAAGUUAAUAUUUACGUUCUUGUGUAAACAAAUCGUAUUUAACGAAACUUCAUUGAUAUCUGUUUUCGCUACAUGACUGCUUAUUUUUGUAUCCGACAUAAGAGUUUCAUAUGAAGAGCAGAGCGACAGCAGAAUAAAAAUGUCGCUGAUUGAUUGAUUAGUGACGCCUCAAGUGACGUCAAUCGCACAAAGAUGAUCAUUUUUGGACAUCCAGGAAUCGCGGAACUCUUCUCAAAUAGUUUAUAAAGCAUUAUUAAUCCUGCAAUCUUUCAGUAUAUCCCUACUCAACAGUAUAAAAGGAAUCAUGAUACGAAAUGUUAUAUAAUUUUUCUCAUGUGCUUUCCAUAAGAGUGAAUCAUAAUCGCGUCUUCACAUUGAAAAUAUGCUGGUUAAGUAAUUAUAAAGUUUAUUGAGUGCUCUAAUUGCAGCAAUAUCGUCAAUGACUCAUUGGUGGUGAAGGGCUAUAAUCAGUUAAAUAACAGGCAAUCAGAUUGAUCAAAUACGUGCAAAUUCCUUCCAAUCACGGCACGUGAACAGUCAAGACCGUAACCAGGCCAAUUGAAAGAUGGAUGCAGAAAGUUUCCAUAUUGGAGAAAGUUCAUGUAAUAUGAAUUAUAAUAAACUAUGAAAAGAAUAACGGUUCCCGAUUGGAAGAACGAAUCGUGAAUUCGCACGCAAAAUCUCUCUCUCUCUCUUUCCUUCUCUUUCAUUCUAAUGGAGAAAGAACAUAAGCGUGUAAGAUAGACAAGGACAGAAGAUACGAGCGCGCUCAGACGAUAAAAAAUGGCGGCACAAGUUCCUGCAAGCAGAACAAAUCAGGGACGAAAAAUAACAGUUAGUUUUUAAAUUUUUACGAAAAAUUUCAAUGAAAUAGAGUUAGACUAUUGUUUAAAUUAGUGUUAUUUGUACUGAGGACAGUGAUCACUAAAUUUUAAAGGGAUUUUUCAAGAAAUUAAAUGAUCAAAAGGUAUUAAUUUUUAAAUGUCUGGUUACGAGUGCGUAACCAUUGUAUAUGACUAAAACUUUUGUGUGGUUAAUCAUUAUCGAUAUCGAAAAUUAAUUUAAUAUUACCAGCGAUUGAAGCAAUUUUUGGAUAAUGUUACAACAGUGAUAGUUUCUGGAAUAAAUAUAAGGAAUCUCGAGGAACAAAGGAGGAAGCGUGAACUCGAAUAGCCAGUUGUGAGAAACGAAGGGACAAAAACGAAGGAUACGUGCACAUUGCACAUCGAGAUAAAUGGAAGAAAUAAUUAUAAGGAGCCGUCGAGCGAGGUGUACGAAACUUAACGAGCCGAGGACAUAACCUUCUCGAAAAAUUGAAUUGCAAAGACCUAGACUAAUUUUGUAACAAGAUAAUAACAAGACAAUAAAAUGAAGAUAAAAAUAUUUGUAUGCAGGUGAUGAAAAUAUUUAGCAACGACGCAAUAAAUGGUAAUGACAGCUAUAACCAAAUUAUGUUGGGCAAUAACAUUUUGUUUAAUGCGUUUCCUGCCAUUUUUAGGUUUGAAAGUGAGUAUGUAAAUUAUUCUAGUGAAACAAACUAGACAUCUAUGAAUCAUCAUUAACAAAAGCAUUGUCAAUUGAUGAGAGAUCAAAGUAUAUUAAGUAUUUAAUUGAACUUCGAUUUAGAAUGUUUCGAAUAUAUAACCCAUUUUUUUAUUAUACGAUAAAAAAACUAAUAAAUUAUAAAAUAUGGAUAAACUUUAUAUGUGUAACUUUGACAUUAAUAAUCUUUGCACUUUAAAAAUAGUGUUUUUUAAUUCUACUUGUCAAAAACUCAUAAAAAAUCGCAAAUUCGGUACGCCUUAAAUCGGAAUUGAUAAAUUACAAUAAAAAAGUAUAGUUGAAACAUCUACUAAGAAGUAUGUAUUACGAAAAACAGCAUAAAAAGAUAAACUAUCGAGUACCUGUAAGCUAAUGAAAAUCAAUAUAUUCGUUAAAGAUUACGACAACCGUUUCUACGCAUAUUGCGACACUCGAGAGCGGAUCUCCUUCUGAGGAAUCUCAAUGUAGCCUCAGCGUGGCCUCAGAAUGGCCUCAGGAUGGCCUCACCGACGAAGUACGCAGCUCCUACUUGGAAGGUGCAAUUCACUCGCAGAGAUGAGCGCUGCUAGUGGGAGGAUACGACAUUGGAGAAGGGAAGAGGAAGGAGGGUUCAAAAGGAAUGGGAGGAAACCGACUUGCAAAACUCGCAUCCGGAGUCUACGAAUUCCGACAUUGGCAAAAAUAGAAAUUAUCUCAUCACAGGUAGAGCUCACAGGUUGCUUUCGAAAUUUGUUGAUCAUUAAUUCCGAAAAACCAACGGUUCUUGGGAUCUUCGGGACAUGCUAAUGGUGACUUGUAUGACUCGGCAUUCCAUUCGUGUUUUCGUAAACAUGGAUGCUAUUUGACGAGCUGAUGAUCAUGGUGAUGUUUCAAAAGAAUUUGUAUUUAGUCACAUAUCUUGACUCUAUAAAGUAUUAUCCUACUAUAUUUAGUUCUAGAAUUAAUGAAGGUACAAUUUUAUUCUUUGUCGCAAUACGUUUUCAUAAUAUGAACAAAUAUAACGUGAAUCUUUGUAUUGAUAAAAGCAGAACAGAAUUUUAUAAAAAAAACAAUGAACUGACUUACACCACUAUGUUCCUCUAUAACCAACCAUUUUAUAAUAUUAAUGUAAUAUAAAUAAAUAUUACAACUUAUACUUAAAUGUUUAUGUUGGAAGGUGAAAUUGAUUAUUGAUACAUCGAGUUAUUGAACAUGUAAUCUUCUUAGGUACAUAUUUAGUUAUGAUCAAAGAAGGAUUGAUUAACAUUCCAGUUGAUCGUACUGUGAUCUCAAUUGGUACCGAUGAACAGCUCACUUGUGCGUGGAGUUUUGACUUGUGUAGCCAUCGAAUGCAGGAAGGUGAGGUAAGAACAGAAUCAUGAAGCCAGAAGACUCAUGAAGGGAAAGGAGGCAGAUACGUAGGGAAAACGAUCCUUGGACGGCUCGUGGAAAACGAGUUGACAUUCCAGUGAACACCGAUGACGUUGUCCUUAACUACGAUGUAGUCUCUCUUUUACUGGUUUGCGAUCUGCCGUCGAUCGAUUUCAUGUGCUCUUGAGAAAUUUUUUUUAGCUUCUUUCAUGCUCUUAUGCCAACCCUUUUUGGAAAAACUUACGAAUUGGUGAGAAAAUAUUGAAUAUACCUUAAUUAGUGUAUAAUCAUGAUAAAAACAUCUGGUAUAAAGGAGAUUAAAACAAAUUUUGUUUCAAAUUCCUAAGUAAACGAAAACAUAAAUUAAAGAUGUUAUAAGUUAUGGAUGAUAAUUAAUAUGGCAAUUGAAAGAGGAAUUUUUAUCGAAGCUAGCUGGAACGUUUCGGAAUUCUAAAACAUAUACAGUAGAUUUUUUGUUAACAAGAACUGUAAACACUAUAUUUUUCUAGCGAGGUAACUGCGCAGUCAACAAUUUGCGCAGCUAAACUUUCUCGAAUUCCUGUGUUUACAUUCUGCGUUCCUACAUGAUCUCACGGCUGCAUAUUGUUUCGCUAGUCUCUUCUUAAGACUGUGGAAGCAGUGGAGAAAAUUGUGUGAUGUGCAAGCGAUAAAUGCUCUGACAGAUACAAAACUAACUUGUACUUGAAUGCAAGUGUAUACCUAUUUAAUUGCUUCAAAUUAAUCUUCAAAGAAAUCACUCACAAUUCUAUUUACAAUCGUACAAAACUAUACAUAAGUAAGAAAAAAAAAUAGUUGAAAGAAGAAUUAAAUAUGGAUGGUUGUAAAACUUAUAUGUACAAAAUUUUGAUAAACCGUGGAAUGCCAAAACAGGUCAAGCAAAACAAAAACACAAUGGCAAGACUAUAGCAGGAGAAGAAAUAUUUCUCGGAUUACUCCAGAGAAAAUGGUAGCGUUUCUAAGUAUGUACGUCGCAGUGACUGAUCGUUCUCAUUGAUGCGAGAUAUCUCGAGAGAGAGCAAGAAAAGAAAAUUCGUGGCGCGAUCGCGGGAGUAAGCGAAACUACGGAGUUAUAAAGAGUACACCAUCGCGCCAUUCUCCUUGACGUGUCUUAGAAAACAAGCUACGAUUCCAGCGGACACUCAUUCAGUUUUUGUUUCGUUCUCACUGUCUAGUCGCGUUUUCACCUGGGAAGGUAUUACGCGAUCCGACGGUAUUAUGUCGCAUGAUAGAGACGAUAUGAUGAGGUGGAAUGACGAAUUUCGAGAAAGGAAUGCAAUGACCAAGGAAAAGACUUUCAUCAAGUACCAAGAAUCCGUGAAGAAAUACGUAAACACGACAGAUAAUAAUAAUGGGUUAUGUCGACAAUGCUGCCUCGAAAACAGGUUAGAACGAAACGAAUGCGCAUAAUCAGGAUGUAGGAGGAUAAAUGAACGAGCUUACAAUGCAGAAUUAUGCAGAUGAGAGAGGCGCAAUUUCUUCAGGCAUAAUUAAGAAAAACGAAGAGGCGAGGUACGCCGAUGACGUUGCUGCCAUUAAACUUCCUCUCACUAGCAUUCUAUGUAUAAUGAGCUGUUACGCCAUACACACGAUAUUACCGUAGAAUACGCAGGGAGGAAUACAAAUACAAUGUGGUGGAUGGUGCAGGAAGAGCGCGAUGAUAAAAAAGGAAAAAGCAAAAUGUCCUUCGUGGUGAAUCGAUUGAAUGAUUAUCGAUAGCUCUUCAAGCUGAAUGUUAUUACUAAAUCAAAUUCCCUCGAAAUUAUUCUAAAUAUUAUACUGACUUAUUCUCUUUGAACCAAUUUAAUUUUCAUCUAAUUCUCGACAAGCAUGCACACACUUUCGAUUUCUUUUAACGAUCAUAUCAAUAACUUUCUGGCUAAUCUCAGGGACAAAAUUAGAAAGGUCUGUACACGAACCGCGUAAUCGUUUCACUGAGCCAUCAAAAAAGAUCCGGCUAUACAAUCUCCCUACCUGUUGAAUUGUCCGGGAAAUUUCCAGCUGAUGCUUCGGUCACGCACACACAAAA